rnacentral:tRNA from 1 species
GAGGGCGUAGCUCAGUUGGGAGAGCAACCGUACUGCGAGAUGCGUACGGAGGGUCGCGGGUUCGAAUCCAUGCCACCUCUUCU